AAAAAACACUAGGGGUGCCACUUGUGGCUGAGAUGGGCGUUGCCCGAUCCCUCGGAACCUGUUAAGUUAGUGCUUGCGAAGGAAAGUGUUGAAAUCAUCGG
rnacentral:ncRNA from 2 species